CGUAAAAAACGCUAUUCUGAUAUGCUAUUAAAGCCCAUUUUUCUUGUAGUGGCUAAAGGGAAAAACACAAGUGAAUAUUUACAUGUCUUACACGCAGACACUCGUUAGGUAGAAUAACGAUCUACAGAGCUAAAACUGGUCACCUCUUCGCAAGAGAAAACAUGCAAAUCAAACCCACUGCUUUAUCUAGAAACGCUCGCCCAAUACAUAGUGGAUAAAGGAGAGGUCUAGUAGAUACCUCCACAACAAGUACACCUCACACCAACGGUCUAGUAGAUACCUCCACAACAAGUACACCUCACACUAGGGAAAACGGCUUAUUCAUGUCCGCAAUAUGAAUCCAGAGAAAAUACAUACCCAAACAAUAUUAACGUGUCAAAACAUUCCUAAACUAAAGAGGAAUUUGAAUUGCAUACCUAAACUUAUAAUAAAUAGCUAAAACAUGCCUAUAGCCGGAUAUGAUGAUUUGGACUAGUUUUUUUUAAAAAAAUUGUAGUUUAGUCCCUAUAAUUCUAUUUUUUGUAAAUAUGCCUUAAAUAACUUAAAUAAUCAAAUUUAUCGUAUUUAUAAUUUUAAUUUGAAAAGUACAAUUUUAUUUUUUUACCAGAUUUUAAUUAAAUUUAAAUAAUAAAUUUAAUUAUUUAUCAGAAAUUUAGAUAGUUAUCAUAUACACAAUAUUAAUUAAUUUAGUUAUCAAAGUAUGUUAUCUACCUUAUUAAAACAUGAGAAUUAAUUAUAAAUAAUCUUACUCAUAUGUAAUAUUUACAAGAAAUACCACUCAAUUUAUAUUUAUAUAAAAUUUUCUUUACAAAUAUAGUCAUUCAAAUUUUAAUCAACAUAACUAAAAAUUAUAAACUUUAAGAACUAGUGAGAUUAAAUCAGGCUUUAAAUUAUGAUACUGUUUUUAUGUUUUUUUUCUAUUUAUUUAAAUUGUUUGUAUCAAAUAUUUCAAUAUGAAAUAAUAAUAAAAAUAAUAUAUUUAUAUUAUUAAAUCUGUUUUAUUUGAUAAAAAAUAUUUCUAUUUUAUAUAUCACCAUAUAUUAAAUUUUAUUUCCAAUUUUGAAAUUAUAAAUAAGGCCAAUUUGAUGAUUUUAAUUAUUUGUGGCACUUUACAAACAAAUAAAAUGAUAAAAACUAAAAGAUAAUAAUUUUAAAAAAUAAAUCAAUAUAUUUUAAAAUGGACUGACACGUGUUAGUUACGAGGCAUGUUUUAACUAUUUAUUAUGAGUUUAGGCAUGCAAUUCAAAUUCCUCUUUAGUUUAAGAAUGUUUUGGCACGUUAAUAUUGUUUGGGUAUGUAUUUUCCCUGGCUUCAUAGUGCGGGCAUGAAUAAGCCGUUUUUCCCCUCACACCAACGAAUCCAAAAAGCUAUAACAAGACGAAAAAAACUAAUUGACCAUAAAUGUAAGCAACCAAUGAGAAACAGAAGCACCACAACCUAACUCUAAAGCACCCCUCGGCUUGACAACAAAAAUGAUUCUAUAGAUCCUGAUCGUCAAAACCAGUGUGAGAUAUAAACCAACGAGAAGGAAACCUUCGCCCAAAACCACCAUAAACCAUACAAAACAUAGAUUAAACUAAAGAGAAAAAUGAUAUCUUCUCUCACGUAAUGGCGAUGAGAAAUACCGCCAAUCACGGAGAAAAAUCGGCGACUAUGGAAUUUUUUUUCUUCUUUUCUUUUUCGUGGGUACGGCGGCUUAACUUAACUAUAUAAAAUAAUUUAAAAUAACUAAAAUUUUAUGUAUUAGAGAAUAGAGCUGAAUGGAUUUGUGCUAUGGGAUUCCGUCUAAUUGACAUGUCUAAAUUCAAGAGAUAAUUGGAAAAAUAGGACACUUAGAACUUGAGUUUGUCUCCAUAGUACUUUGUCUAAUUUUUUUGUCUAAUUAAGAUUUUAAUUAUCGUUAAUACGAUUAUACCCUCAGAGUAAUCAAAAUUUAAAUUAAUUAAAAUACAUAAUACAAUAUUUGUUAAUUAUUUAGUAAAUACAAGUUUACAUAUUUUAAAGAAAGGUAAAAUAUAGAAAGGGGAAACACACGUUAACCUAAUUUUAACCCUCUUCUAUCGUCUUCUUCUCUGAGAGCUUUCUUUUCUUUUUAAUGGUUACUUUUUUCUUCUUCUUCAUCACACAGUUAAAUAGUCUCGUCUUCGUUCUCUGUUUCCUCUUACUUGCUCUCUGUUCUUCUUCCUCGUAUUUGUUCUUCGUCGUUUUGUUGUGUCGACUCAGUUAUGUACUUCGUCAUCAAUUGCAUCAAAAUUCUACUAUUCUUCACAUAUGGUAUGUGUUUCAUUCUCUAGAUUCGUAAAACCCUAAUUUUUAAGAUUUGAUUUGUAUAUCUUUUCAAUUAUAAUUAGUUCUAGGGGUCGAUUAGUCAUCACCUAUACAAGGGUAUUGUCCCUUUCUUGUACUGGUUAGUUUACUAUUUUGUUUUUUUUCUUCUCUUAUCGUAUCAGCUCAUGAAGCUACCAUUAAGUUGGCAGAUCGAAUGAUUUACUUCUUUUUUUCAUUUUAGGGUGGGUUUGAUUUUGAUUUAGUUUCUUUUAGCAGGUUUCUCAUGGUGCUAUUCAGUUCACAACGUAUGAGGAACUACGUAAAAUCAGUGGGGAGUUCAAAGAAUGGAGAAGAAAGUCAUUGUGGAUUAUGCUUGAGAUUUUGUUAGAUGCUCUUUGUAGAGAAGGACAUGUUAGAUAAGCCAAUGUAUAUAGGGGGAAGACGAAGGUUUAAAACGAUUAUAUUCUUGUUCACCUUGAUGUUCCAACGUUGCAUAUAUAACAAUAAUUCGCAGUAUGAAAACUUCAAUCUUUUCUUAUAGAAACAAAGAGUUUUUUAAAGUAUAAUUUGUCAAAGUGAAAUAGUAAAUUCAAAUGUGGUCGAGCUAUUCAACUUUUUGUGGAAGAUGUGUUUGAUCUCUAUGAGCCAAUUAAAAUCACUAUUAAGCAUAGCAGGAGGCUUUCUCCGGAGUCGUCAUAUUGACUCCUAAAUUUUAGAUAAACACAAUCCACUACCCUCAGAAAAUUGAGAUAAACACAAUCCAUCUCUUUGCUAAAACAAAAUGCAAGGGUUCGAUUUCAAAGAGAUUCAGGAGAAGAUCUCCAACAGCUUUCGUCCAUGGCCACGAUCCUUUCAAUUCUGGGUUCGAGCUACCAAUAUCUACACUGGUUACAAGGUCCCAACUGUGUAUCGACUCGAGCUCCGUCGUUGCAGCCACCGUCGCUUCACCGUGCUUUUGGUCGCCAUCAACUUCUCUCACAGGAACCACCACUGCCGUGUCAUCUUCGCCGCUGCACGGGCUCGUCUUCUCCGUUCAAGCAGUCACAGCCCCAGAGCAUUGAAUCGAGCAGGCCACACCUUCACGCAUCGCUCGAUUGGUUCUCUCGGAUGUUCAGUUUGUCGUUUGGACCAAGCCAGAUGGAUCUAGCAUUUGUCUUCCACAUCGAACGUUCCAAACCACGAAACAGACAUGGCUAAAUUUUAAUAUAUUGCACACUUGGCCCCUGAGAUUAGUUCUUUUCUUAUUUUUUCCCGAGAAAUUUUAUUUUUGAAAAUUAGUCCUCGAUUUCGCCCCAAAACUCUUGGUUCAGGGAAAUAUCUUUAAUGUUCGCCCCGGUACUUUUAAAUUUACGGAAAUAUCUUUAUGAUUUCAUCUUAAACUUUAAACGUUCACUUUUGACUAUAUUAUAUGAAAAUACAAUAUAUACAAAACUCAGAAAUUAAUCGUGGAGCAAUCCAGGAUUAGUUUUAAAUUUUUUAUUAUACUUUCUAGUAUAUAAGCUAGUAUAUGUAUCAAAUUAGCGUGAAUCAUAUGUGGUAUAGUGGCUUGUGUGUAUAAUUUUCUCUUGAAUAACUCGGGUUCGAGUGGAGGAAAAAACAAUUUUGAUGACUUUUUGACUUAGGAAAGAAUAUACUCUGCGAGAUUUAGAUUAGAUUUCGUGUAGAAUUAGGAAAGUACAUCUUUAACCGAAUAUGGAAGUUUCCAUAUUUUCCGGAUUUGCCUAGAAUAUGUAUAUUACCUUACGCAGAAUACAGUAGAGUAGGUGGAAAAUAUAUUAUUCCUUCAGGCGUCACAUAAGGUAAAUGGAAUAACAUGUUAUGGCACAUAAUCUAGAUAAGGUAUAUUAUUGAGUUGUGGCUAUAUAUCGUUAUCAAGCUGUAGGUAUACUGAAGACAUCUUUCUUGAUUAUAACGUUUCGAAAUAUAUCUUGGUUAUAAUAUAUAAGAAAGGCUAGUUUACAUUGUAUACCCAAGAUAUAUCUAUGUAUAAAACUUAGUAUCUGAUUUCUAGACUAACUAGAUGACCAGAAUGAGUAUUCUAACUGUAGUUAGAAGAUAAAAUAAAAUAUGAUUCCACUUUAAAAAAAAAAAACUUUUAAACAUAUAUAUUGUCAUACUUAUGUUUCCAAUAGUUUUCAUAUUUUUUAACAUUUUUAAAAUUCAGUUUACUAUUUUAACAAUAAAAAAGAGUAAAAAUUGUACAGAAUUGCCCAAAAUAUCAGAAAUUCUAUUGUGACAAAUAAAAUUCAAAUAUCUCAUUUUUCCAAUUUUCCCUAAAUUCAAUUCUCACUCAAAAACCACAAAACAUUAUCUCUUUAAAUAGGUUUCGGAGUUGAACCAAAAAACAAAGUUUUCGGAAAAUUAAUAGGGGCGACCGUGAGUAUUCGUUGUAACAAAGAUUGUUAAAAUUUUCACUGCACGGGUGUUAGAUCCGAUCUGAAACCGAUCUUCUGGCGAUGGACUUAGCUGAACUUUGGGCGAUUUUCGGGCCGGGUUUCUCCGGCGCUGUUUUCGGCACCGGCUGGUGGUUUUGGGUCGACGCCGUCGUAUGCAGCUCCAUCCAAGUUCCCUUCCUCCACUACCUUCCCGGUAAAACUAUCUCUCACAAAUAACCCUCCCGGGGUAAAUCUGAUUUAGGGUUUCCGUUUAACGCAGGCAUAUUCGCCUCUCUCGGAGCAUUGAUGUUCAAUUGCGUCAGAAAAGAAGAUAUCGAUUACUCUCCUUAUGACGAAGGCGAAUGGAGGUUUCUUUUCCAUUCCUCUCUUCGUUGACUUGGAAUCAUGUUUUCUUUUCGAAUCAGAAGACUUUGAUAAAAUCGAGCUUUUCGCUGAGAUUAAUGUAUAUGAUGACAAUAAUGUAAUUAAUUAAGAUUUAAAUUUCAACUUGUUAAAAUAAAAAUUUGUAAGCUAAUUUAUUUACCUCUCAUAUUGAAGAACGUCUUCGCAGUUGGUGAGCAAAUAUGUUUGCAAAUGACUGUGCUCCUGCUCAGUAAGUCGACGGUCCUUUGGUUUUCCGCUAAGUCGUCCAACGUCUGUGAAAAUGUCUGGAACCGUAACAUGAUAUGUUGCCCGUUCGCCUCUAUCAUCAUGCCGAGCAGGUCUUCUGUUUUUGGUUUGAACUUCUGCUGAAAAGUAGUACUCGGUAAAGUUUGAAGUUUCUUCAUUGAUCAUCUGUGCGACUAUAGAACCUUCCACCCUACUUAAAUUUUUCACCAUCUUCUUCAAAUGGAACAUAUACCGCUCACACAGAUACAUCCAUCUAUACUGCACAGGACCACCAAGUUACAAUUCUCUUGCCAGGUGAAUAACAAGAUGCUCCAUAACAUCAAAAAAUGAGGGAGGAAAUAUCUUCUCAAGGUUGCACUGAAUCACGGCUAUGUAAUCUUCAGCCAAAUUAUAAUUUGUUUUAAUGCCCAUCAAUCUUGUAGCCAACCAACUGCUCAAAGUACGGUGAGAUUGUGACUGUCGGUGGUUUGGCUUCGUCGACCUCGAACAUGGAUGAAAUCAAUUGGGUUCAUUUGGAUUUUGAAAAUUAAAGGAAAAAACUGAAAGUAAAACCCAGAAAAAUCGAGCUAUUACAUGAUGUUAUGGUUAUCAUCACUCUGUCUGACCGAUCAUGUCCUUUUUGUGUGUGUGUGUCUGCUAACACCGAUCAUCUCCUUCUCUUCAUAUUCCACAAUCUGAUGUUUCUUUUUGGGCUUUACUAGUCUCCUCCAAAUCAUCUAUUGGGUCAAACAAUCAAUUAUAUAUGUACGACCCAUUUCCACAAACUAAGUCUCCAAAAGCUUAUUUUUUGUUGUUUCAAUAUCAUUAAAGUGGCUAGUGGUCUUAUAUUGCUUUUGUAACUCUUACCGUAUAAGUAAGAGGAUAGUUUAAUGAUAAUACAGAUGAUGUAAAUAAGUGAGAGGCUAGUUUUUGUUCUGUAAAAUCGAGCAAUAUUACUGUGUAUAUACAAAUUGAUGACUAAAGAUAAACAUGAAUGCACAAAAUCAAUACAUUUACAUGGGACAUAAAAAUUUAUUUUACAUAAACAUGUAUUAUGCAUAAAAAUUAGUAAUACACAUAUAAAUAGAGCAUAAAAGUACGAAAAAUUCCUCCUCGCGUACUUUCCGAUUUUUUCCCGAUUUUUCAAUAAAUCGCUAGGCUCUAGUAUGCCGCACGCGUAGCGCCUAACGAGUUUCCGAACAAAGAAAAUAAUAAACACUAGAACUUGAUCCGCGCCCCCGCGCGGGUGCUUGAUUUAAUUUUUGUUUAACAUAAACGUGAGCUCACUGAGGCGAGUUGAGCCAAUACGGUUGCCUUCAACGCCAUACCGAUUCUUGACCGCAGAAAGCGUGGUUUAACAUUACGCGGCCGUUGAAACGUGAAAUCGUCUGACCCAAAAAUCGGUCAUUCUACGUUUAUACACAAUCUUCUUCUCUCUUUUCCGACAAGACAACAAAAGUUGUGAUUGCUUUUCCUCAAAUUCACUUAAUCGAAACCAAAUCACCAGAAUCAAGCUCAUCCAUCACUUGCAAAUCCAAAUUGAAGCAGAUUCAGGUUUUUUAUCUUUGUUUCCAAACAGUACUAAAGGUACUUCAGUUUUAAUAAUAUAGAUGUAGGCCAAGUUGGAGUUGAAACUAAUAUAUGAGAUCUUCAGAGACGCUUCGAAAAAACAAAUAUUCAAGGAUCUGAAUCUAAAUAAUAAUUUUACGGAUUCAUAUACUGAAAUUAUAGUUUGGAUAUCCAGAUUCCAAUAUUUUAAAAUCUCGGAAAAAUAAAUAUGUAUGUUAGAACAAAACUAUAUAAAGUAUUUUUUGUUUAACUCAAAAUUUUAUUAAAUCUUUUAUAACGAAACACAUCGUGGAUAACAAAAGCUGGUAGAAAAUGAUAAUAUCUACAGAAACAAUAGCCCAAAAGAAAGAUACAAUAACAGUGAGGUAGGAUAAUACGAAAAAUAAGCAUUAGAGAGCCAUCGAUACUAAAACUGGGAUUGAUGGACUGAACAUAACUCGCAGACACUCCAAAAUAACAUGAGACCGAAGAUAACCAAAGAACCAAUGACCUAGGUAAACCCAACCCUGAAGGGUACACCACCAAGUCCAAACAGGCACAACAUCGGUACAUGCAUGUGUGAGGAUAAACUUAAAUCAACACCAGAGACUGUUGCAAACCGGAGCCGAGACAAAACCAAGUCAAAACCAAACACCUAGGCUCAAGGACACACAUACUUGAAACGCUAAAGGGGAAAACACUAGUGAAUAUUUACAUGUCUUACAUGCGGACACUAGUUAGGCAGAAUAUCAAUCUACAUAGCUCAAACUGGUCAACUCCUCGCAAGAGAAAACAUGCAAAUCAAACCCACUGCUUUGUCUAGAAACGUUCGCCCAAUACAUAGUGGAUAAAAGAGAGGUCGCGUUUCGCCCGAUACACAGUGGACAAAAGAGAGGUCUAGUAGAUACUUCCACAACAACUACACCUCACACUAACGAAUCCAAAAAACUAGAACAAGACGAAAAAACUAAUUGACCAUAACUG
rnacentral:lncRNA from 1 species